rnacentral:lncRNA from 1 species
AGACAGUACAUCAAGUAAUGAGAUUUCGCCAAGAUCAGAUUCUGACAAUCGAGAAAAGCCACCAAAACUACCAGUAACCCAGCUAAGGCUGCUCUAUCCAAUAUUUUGGAACCAUAUCGUAAGGGAGAUAUGGAUAAAAUGAACCAAGCCUUGGGAAAUUCGAACGAGGAACAGAUGUAAGGGAUUUUUUGCGUGGUAGCAGGCCAAUUGUCUCAACAUGGUGGCAAGUCGGGCAUUAUUUGUUCCUGCACCGACGAGACCGAGAGCAAAGAUUGCACUGUUGGCUACCUCAGAGUCAUUAUCGUGGCUGUAUUUAUUUAGGACGUCGAGAACUGCCAAGUCUGGAUUCGACAAAGAAGAUAAACCUAGAGCCAAUGGCAUUGCUCGUCUUGCAUAUAUAGAUCCGUAUCUUCCAAUCUGAGAAAUAAUCCCUUAUAGAAACAUCAAUGAUCGUAUAUUGACACUUUUAAAUCAAGGGAUUAAACAAUUUUUCUUAUCACCUGACCGAAUAUCCUCGAAUUCUCUUUUCCCUCUCCCAGUGCAACAGCAGCGACACCCAAAGUAGCUAUAGCCUGCGACGAGCCGAUUUCUCUGAAGGAUACAUGGAAAAUUAUGAAAAGGUCAUGAUAAAUAUAAAUAAUAAAAAUGCGAUUAAAAGAGCACUUUGAUCCCCCGUGUUGUUUCUCUUCUAACUUCUCUUUGGUUUUUUUCUCAGAAAAUUCGAUAAUUCGAUGGCGUUGAUCGCAACAACUGCUCACAGGACUGCUAGCCGGCGUAGCGGGAAUACUUUCACCAUCCACCGGUUCCGAACAUAUUCGUAACAAUUCCUGAACAAUCAAUACAUCCCCUGUCCCAGCGUAUGCACAUACCUGAGCAUAGUCUGCGCAGCAAGCUUGUAAGGAUCUGGUAAGACUUCGAGUGCGGCCGAAGAAGCCUCUAUGACAUCGCGACAACCCAUGUAGACCAUUCCCAGUGCCAGUGACAGAAAUCUAUACAAAAAUAAACUCGAAACAAUUCUUCUUCGCCAUCGUUUUAAACUCGAUGAAUGUAUUUCUUUUUAACCUAGAAUGGGUACUAGAUAACUUUUGAGGAGUAAACUCUAGUAAUUUCUGUAGAAGGGUCGAAGAAGCUUCAGCAUCGGCAGAACCAACGUUUAUCAAUCCUAUCGCAAUUGCUCCCAAAGACAUAACUUCCAUGCUAUCUAAAAAUUGUUCAUUACGCGAAAGAUUCUUUCUUUCUAGCUAUCCAUAAACGUACUUCCAUUGUCCACCAGAACUCCCGUUAGAAGCUCCGUAACAUCAGAUCUUUGUGAACCAGCGUAAGCUAAACCUAAACCCAAAAUGGCCCCAAUUCUCAACGUGGCGUUUUCAGAAGACACAUAAUCGCUGAGAAGUGCCAGUGCUGGAUCACAUUCAUUGCGAAUGCCACAGUUAACCAAUCCUAUAGCAAGUAAAGCACCUGCUUUGAUGUUGUAAUCGUUCGUAUAAAGAUAUCUGCGAGGAAAAACACAUCUUAGCUCUUGGACAUUUGUUCGUAAAUUAUAAUUUCAUUACGAUAAAAGACGCGAAUCACUUGUCGAUAGGUACCAGUCCACCAUCUACGUCCCACAUGUGUAUCAGUCCCAAGGAAGCGGUUGCAGAGAGCAUUCCGUGUUCCUAUCAAACAAUUUACUUUAGCUUUGAAUAGUUUAAAUUUUUCUUUUAAAAAAAAUCUCUUUUAUAAAAACCUUAUUUUUAUAAACCCAACAUUCUGAAGUGUUGUCCAUCAGUUUAUCUUGGCCGAAACCAGCAUGAACGAAACCGGAAACGAACGUGGCUGCUAAAUUGGCUCUGGCUGAAUCGUGUUCCGCGCGUCUCAAGGUAUUAGUUUCUAACCAGGUUUUGUAAAUAUCGUCUGGAUGUUUGGGUUCUAAAAUGUCGAGUUCCCUUGCAAGUAAAUGAAAAUGAUUGUUUACGUGGCUGUUACUCAAAAUGGCUUCGAUAUCCUUUGCGUCAUCUCCUUGAUAAUCUUUUUUCAACGGGGUCUCCUAAUGAUCAAUAAAUUAUAUGA